AACUAGUCCACCUACAGGUAAACAACUAGUCCACCUACAGGUAAACAACUAGUCCACCUACAGGUAAACAACUAGUCCACCUACAGGUAAUCAUGUCAACAACUAGUCCACCUACAGGUGAACAACACACCCCUGACAGGGCAUUCAGCAUUCACCUGUUGACACACUGAUGUCAACAUCAGCACAGUUGGAGAAACUGGAGAGAACAUGGCACAUCCACCAGGCAUGUUCAGGCAUAUUUAACAAGACACUCCAUCCACAGAUAACUUUACACAACACAUAACCACUAAUAACCCGUUCUGGCUUCAUGUACAGGGUAGAGGACAGUGAGGCAAUGGUAGUGAGAGAGAGAGAGAAGGAAAAGAGAGUGUGUGUAGCGUCCAGGCUAAAGUGCAUGUAUCAGAUGAGUCUCUCCUCCUUGGGCAGGGGCAGGCCUGGUCUCUCAGCCCCCCGUGGUCCGGUCUGUUUGCUCUCCUCCGCACUGGGCCGAUACAUUCCCUCCAUCCUUCUCUUCUUCCUGAUCACACAGCCCAUCAGGACCAGGGCCAGGCACAGCAGUAGGGCCAGGCCUGGGACUAACACAGACCACAACCCCCACGACGGCCUUGGUAACGACAACACCAUUUCCAUGACGACGGGCCCUGAGUCAGAGAGAGAGGAGGAGGAUGACAGAGAGAAGCAGGUACACAGGCAGACAGAUACACAGACCGUAGGCAGACAGAUACACAGACCGUAGGCAGACAGAUACAUAGACCGUAGGCAGACAGAUACACAGACCGUAGGUAGACAGAUACACAGACCGUAGGUAGACAGAUGUCUCACUCACCUGAGGGUUAGAGGAGACACUGCUGGUCUCUGCUCUCACAUCUGGACCAAUGGGGACACAGCAGCCAGACUGCCAGUGAGGGGUGCCUGUCUCUAGAGAGAGAGUGUAGGAGAGCAGCCAUGAGCCAGGCCGGUGAAUUCAGCCCCUUUGAGGCAGUGUGUCUGUCCAAGUCUACGGAACACAUCAGCAUAGAAACUAUGGCUGUGUUCGAUCCAAACCGCAAUGUAUCAUGGGUCAAUUCUGACCGACUGACUGAUCUACAAAUAAUAUUGAGUAGUUAUUUGUGAUCCAAGGUGAUUUGUAGAUUGGUCAGUCUCGACAGUCGGCUGCAAUGUCAAAAGUGUCCAGAGACAGUCUGAAACAACGUCUCUAAACCGGGUCCAGAUACAGUCUGAAACAACGUCUCUAAACCGGGUCCAGAUACAGUCUAAAACAGUGUCUCUAAACCUGGUCCAGAUACAGUCUAAAACAGUGUCUCUAAACCUGGUCCAGAUACAGUCUAAAACAGUGUCUCUAAACCAGGUCCAGAGACAGUCUAAAACAGUGUCUCUAAACCUGGUCCAGAUACAGUCUAAAACAGUGUCUCUAAACCAGGUCCAGAAAGUGUCUCUAAACCAGGUACAGUCUAAAACAGUGUCUCUAAACCUGGUCCAGAUACAGUCUAAAACAGUGUCUCUAAACCAGGUCCAGAUACAGUCUGAAACAGUGUCUCUAAACUGGGUCCAGAGACUAGAGGUCGGCCCAUUAAUUAGGGCUGUAAUCAACAUUUUUAGACACCCAUUACAUUGCUCUCCACGAGGAGGCUGCAUGGCAGGCUGACCACCUGUUACGCGAGGGCAGCUAGGAGCCAAGGUAAUGUUAACAUAAAUCACUAGUUAACUACACAUGGUUGAUGAUAUUACUAGUUUAUCUAGCUUGUCCUGCGUUGCAUAUAAUCAAUGUGGUGCCUGUUCAUUUAUCAUCGAAUCACAGCCUACUUCACCAAACGGGUGAUAAUUUAUUAACAAGAGCAUUUGCGAAAAAAAGUAUACCUAAAUAUACCUAACAAUAAACAUCAAUGCCUUUCUUAAAAUCAAUACACAAGUAUAUAUUUUUAAACCUGCAUAUUUAGUUAAUAUUGCCUGCUAACAUUAAUUUAUUUUAACUAGGGAAAUUGUGUCACUUAUCCUGCGUUCUGUGUAGGCAGUCAGGGUAUAUGCAGCAGUUUGGGCCGCCUGGCUCGUUGCGAACUGUGUGAAGACCAUUUAGUCCUAACAAAGACUGUAAUUAAUUUGCCAGAAUUGUACAUAAUUAUGACAUAACAUUGAAGGUUGUAACAGCAUUAUUUACACUUAGGGAUGCCGCUGUUCGAUAAAAUGCAGAACGGUUCCGUAUUUCACUGAAAGAAUAAACGUUCUGUUUUCGAAAUGAUAGUGUCCGGAUUUGACCAUAUUAAUGACUUAAGGCUCGCAUUUCUGUGUGUUUAUUAUAUUAUAAAGUCUAUGAUUUGAUAGAGCAGUCUGACUGAGCGGUGGUAGGCACCAGCAGGCUCGUAAGCAUUAAUUCUAACAGCACUUUCCUGCAUUUGAAAGCAGCUCGUCGCUGUGCAUUGCACUGUUUAUGACUUCAAGCCUAUCAACUCCCCAUUAUUUAUUUGAGAUCAAAUUGAUUUUAUUUAUGUAUUAUAUU
ensembl:lncRNA